rnacentral:rRNA from 1 species
UACGAAGGGGGCUAGCGUUGUUCGGAAUCACUGGGCGUAAAGCGCACGUAGGCGGAUCUUUAAGUCAGGGGUGAAAUCCCAGAGCUCAACUCUGGAACUGCCUUUGAUACUGGGGAUCUCGAGUUCGGGAGAGGUGAGUGGAACUGCGAGUGUAGAGGUGAAAUUCGUAGAUAUUCGCAAGAACACCAGUGGCGAAGGCGGCUCACUGGCCCGAUACUGACGCUGAGGUGACGAAAGCGUGGGGAGCAAACAGG